ACGGAAGGCAGCAGUGAGGAAUAUUGGUCAAUGGACGGAAGUCUGAACCAGCCAUGCCGCGUGAAGGAAUAAGGCCCUAUGGGUCGUAAACUUCUUUUGAGUGGGAGCAAUAAGGUGCACGAGUGCAUCGAUGAGAGUACCAUUCGAAUAAGCAUCGGCUAACUCCGUGCCAGCAGCCGCGGUAAUACGGAGGAUGCAAGCGUUAUCCGGAUUUAUUGGGUUUAAAGGGUGCGUAGGCUGUUUGUCAAGUCAGGGGUGAAAUGCCGAGGCUUAACCUUGGAAUUGCCUUUGAUACUGGCAGGCUUGAAUACAGUUGCCGUGGGAGGAAUGAGUAGUGUAGCGGUGAAAUGCAUAGAUAUUACUCAGAACACCGAUUGCGAAGGCAUCUCACGAAGCUGCGAUUGACGCUGAGGCACGAAAGUGUGGGGAUCAAACAGGAUUAGAUACCCUGGUA
rnacentral:rRNA from 2 species